rnacentral:lncRNA from 1 species
ACCUUGAAAGUAAAAAGAAACAAUCUGGGGUAUUUUAGUUUUUUUAAAAGGCUCCUCUACAUUCCCUACAAAACUAUUACUGGUGGGUCUGGUGUAGGCGACAAUCAGAUUCCCCAAGGCAUGCUUACCUCUUGCUCUGUGAAGAGGAUGUCAGUAUAGCACAGCUGAAAAAAAAUUAACUGUUGGUGUGUGGAGGGAUUUUUUUAUUUUUACUUUUUUGGAGACAGAGUUUCGCUCUUGUUGCCCAGGCUGGAGUGCAAUGGCGCGAUCUCAGCUCACUGCAACCUCCUUUGCCUCCAGGGUUUAAGAGAUUCUCCUGCCUCAGCCUCCCAAG